UAUGGAAAGGACAUGAGCCUACAUGAAAUGAAAUGUAGUUAUGAAGAUUAUGAAUACUCCUGGCAGCUUUUGGUGGUCUUGUUCCUGGUAGGAUAUAGGUCUCAGCUAUCAAACAGGCAGCUGUAUGGUGGUUUUGAUCAACUGUACCGUGGGGUGUUACCACACUGUAAGUUUAUUCUCAAGUCUGCCGCAAUGCUAACAACCCAGCCCAUAGAAUCAGGACUGUGCUGUAGCUGAGCGUGCUUCUCUCACUUCUAGGAUGAUGUAGUUAUUAUUCUCAGGAAUUACUACAGUACCUUCUGGCCUUUUCUGUUUUUCUUCUUUUUUUUUUGAGACGGAGUCUCACUCUGUCACCAGGUUGGAGUGCAAUUGCGUAACCCUGGCUCACUGCAAUCUCUGCCUCCUGGGUUCAAGCGAUUCUCCUGCCUCAGCCACCCAAGUAGCUGGGACUACAGGUGGGUACCACCAUGCCUGGCUACUUUUUUUGUAUUUUUAGUAAAGACGGGGUUUCACCAUGUUGGCCAGGAUGAUCUCCAUCUCCUGACCUCGGCCUCCCAAAGUGCUGACAUUACAGGUCUCUGAGUGGACGUCCAAGUUGUUAAUUCCCAGGGCCAAAACAGCGGCAUUAAGACUGAUGGUGCUUUUCUGCCCGGGAAUCUCCAGUCUGGCUUCCUUCUUGAGUCCGUAAUAGGCAACUCUGCCUUCCUGGAGCUCCAAACCUCAGUCAGAAGGGGAACCAGUCCUGUUUACUCUGCACCAAGAGCUGCCAUGGUGAGGUGCCGGCAAAACUGCUGCGCCAGCCACAAGAGUCACGCUGGCGACCUGUGUGGCUCCUCCAAACCUCGGUCAGAAGGGGAACCAGUCCCGUUUACUCUGCACCAAGAGCAGCCGCGCUGAGGUGCCGACGAAACCGCCGCGCCAGCCACAAGAGUCGCGCUGGUGACCCGUGGAGCUCCUCCACUGGGAAUCUUCUGCUCCGUGAGCAACCAAAAUUUGUCUGACAGUGUGGCGUCCUCUCGUUGUCUGAGCUUUCGCUGGGAGCUGCAGUUCUAAGAUGUUAGCGAUCGGCCAUCUUGGAUCGUUCCCCUUGCGGCAAAUUUUUAAUGUAACAAUAAAAAUUAUAGCAAAUAUUA